UUGAUACUCACAUUGUAUAUACUUUAUUAAAGACCUAGAGGCAGAGGCUCUAGAAGGAGCAGGGGUCCCCAGCCACCGGGAGAUUCCCAGCUCCCUUCUCGUGCUUGGAUUCGCGCACUCAGGCUCAUCCCUGCGGGUGGGCCUCUUGGACGCAGCACCCUCCGGAGACAGCGCCACGGGUGUGGGACUUUUCCUCCUUUCCAAUUGGCAAAGUGAUCCCGGGCAAGUCAUUGUCCGUCAUCCCAGGCAGCCUCAGCUGGGAUUGGCCGGGAGGCGCCGGCCAGGGAUAAAGCCAGAGUUCCAGGGCCCCCACCCUGGCCAGAGUCUGGGCAGAGAGAGUCUCUGCUGCUCCUGCUGCUGCUCCUGCUGCUCCUGCUGCUGCUCCUGCUGCUCCUGCUGCUCCUGCUGCUCCUGCCCGGCCUCCCCUCUAGGUGAAGCCUUUAGGAGGUAAUUAGGAUUAGAUAACGUCAUCACGGCAGAGUCCUAUUAUGGGACUGGUGGCUUUAUAACAAGAGGAAGAAAGACCUGAGAUAACAUGCACAUUUUUGCCCUCUCGCCAUGUGACGCCCUCUGCGAUGUUAUGACAUAGCAAGAAGGCCUUCACCAGAUGCCGACACCAUGCUGUUGGACUUCUCAGCUCCCAAAACCUGUUGUAUUUAUUGAAUUAAGAUUGAUGCUUCAUGUUCUUCAACAGACCAGGAGAGUUUAUCUUUCUUAUUUAAUAAGGUUUUUUGUUUUGUUUUGAGACGGGGUCUCGCUCUGUCCCAGACUGGAAUGUAGUGGUGCAAUCAUGGCUCACUGCAACCUCGACCUCCUGGAUUCAAGCAAUCCUCCCUCCUGGUCCCUCCAAUGUGCUGGAACUACAGACAUGAGCCACCACGCUCGGCCUAUUUACUAGCCUUUUUACUGAAAAAUUUAUUCACUCACUUAUUGGCCAGGCGCAGUACCUCACACCUGUAAUCCCAGCACUUUGGGAGGCCCAGGCAGGAGGAUCACUUGAGCCUAGGAAUUCCAGACCACCUGGCCAACAUGGUGAAAUCCCUUCUCUACUGAAAAUACAAAAAUUAGCCAUGGAUGGUGGCACACACCUGUAAUCCCAGCUAAGUGGGGGCCUGAGGCAAGAGGAUCGCUUGAGCCUGGGAGGCAGAUGUUGCAAUGAGGCCAGAUCACACCACUGCACUCCAUCCUGGGUGACAGAGCAAGACUCCAUCCAAAAAAAAAAAAAAGCAUUCACUCACUGUUUUAUUUUUCUUAUUUAAUAGGAAGAAGAAAGUACUGUUCAAAUCAGGGACUUGACUCCCACAAGACUCCCACAAGAGCCCGGAGUCUUAAGUGGACAAUGAGCCGUUUAAAACCAUGCACAGGCCAGUCGCGGUGGCUUAGCCCGUAAUCCCAGCACUCUGGGAGGCCAAGGAGGGCAGGUCACUUGAGGUCAGAAGUUCGAGACCAGCCUGGCCAGCAUGGUGAAACCCCAUUUCUAGUAAAAAUACAAAAAUUAGCCGGAUGUAGUGGUACGCAUUUGUAAUCCCAGCUACUUGGGAGGCUAAGGCAGGAGAAUCGCUUGAAACCGGGAAGCGGAG
rnacentral:lncRNA from 1 species